GUGGGCAUAGUUCAGUGGUAGAACACAUGCUUAGCAUGCACGAGGUCCUGGGUUCAAUCCCCAGUACCUCCA
rnacentral:tRNA from 1 species